UCCGCGAUAGCUCAGUUGGUAGAGCGUUCGACUGUUAAUCGAAUGGUCGCAGGUUCGAGUCCUGCUCGCGGAGCCA
rnacentral:tRNA from 13 species